GUAGACUAGCAAACGAGAGUGGUCACCCGCAAACACCAUCACGAAUUUGCUGUUUUUCUUACUUUUCGCCGUUUCUACGCCUUGACAUGGAUUCCAGUGAUAGUGACGAUGAUAUUCAGGCUUCCAAGAUUACCAGGAAGAGAAAAAAGGAAGCCUAAACGAUGAAAACUGGCUGUAGACAAGCAAACAAGAAAAAAGUGAUUCUGUAUAACCACACCAUUACGGAUUUGAUGUUUUCCUUAAUUUUUCGCUAUUUCUUCGCCUUGACAUGGAUUCCAGUGACCAUGGCAGUGAGAUUCAAGCUUCGAAGAUUACCAGGAAGAGAAAAGGAGCCCUGAACGAUUAAAAGCGGGCCGUAGAUAAGCAGACGAGGGCAGAAAGUGAGGUGAGGGCAAGGACAUUGAUUUUUCCGCGUGCUCAGUGCAUUAAUCCGUGUGGCAAAGAUUGGUAUUAUUAACGCGCCGAUAUCUCGUUUCCUAAUUAACCUACUGCCUCCCGGAAAUCAUUAAAAGAGUGUAGAGAUCAAAGUGACUGUGAAAAUAGCCCAUGAGCCGUGUCCUUUGAUGUAAAAAAAAAAAAAAAAAAAAACCUCCUCUUGGCGCAGCGCGAGGCAUAUGACAUUUAUUUGACUUGACAUACCCAUCCGAACUAAAAAUCUAACCUAAUUUGCGUGUUCAGUGACGGCCAAGUGUUUUAUUAUAGAUUUUGUGUACAUGGUGACGGUGAAAAGUGUUGUGACUGUAUUGUAAUGUGUGCAGCUUCUUCAUUUACGUUCGUGGCAUAUGAGAGCAACGCUUGUACACGGAAAAAAAGAUUGCAUUGUGACGGUGACGGUGAAAAGUGUUCUGAGUGUACUGUGUCGUGUGUUGCUUCUUCCUUCACGUUUAUGGCAUUGAAGAGCAACGAUUACACACGAAAAGCUAAGAAGAAUGUCCUGUACUCGGCCUGCGCGGUGUGGACCCGACAUGCCAGGCUACCAGCAGGCACGCCAUCUUGAAGGGUUCUCUACGCAACAUUCACUACGAGGAUUGCCACAAGACCGAGAUGCCCCCCUUAAGAGCAGAGGCCGAGUGCGAGGGUGUGAGGGCCGGCACCAGCUGAUCAGACCUUCGGGAGGGGCGGCGCGCAUCCUCCCACUGUCACUGCCGGCCACGGUGUUCAUGACGACCCACUGCUUCAGCUUCUCCACGCCGCGCACCAAGGCCUGGCAGUGCUCGCGGACGAACUCCUCGGACAGGGGCGAGCUGGAGUCCGGCUGCGUCCUGAGGGCUUGGAGGGCCACGGAGCCAUCGAAGCACACGAAGCAGAAGCGCGUCGUGAGCUCCGAGGCGGGACGCAGGAAGGGGUGAGAGGACAUGACCUGCGGGGGACGAAGACAUGCGCUUAGAAUGGCCUGGGACAUCUGCUCGCUGGUGGUGAUGCCGCGUCUCUUCAGCCCUUCUCUCACCACCUCGAAGUCUGCCAUGUAGUAGUACCCGGCUUGGCUCUUCACGCCGCCCACGCCCACGCUGGAGAGCUCUCUGUCGGGUUGGUCAGGAUGAGGAGUCUCCACAUGGACGAGCGCCCCUGCUGCUGCUCCUCCUGCACCACCGCCCGCAGCACGCCCGGGGCCAGCUUCCACCCCUUGCUGGCAUCCGUGGGCAGAAUGAUGGGGUCCUUCCCGGCGAGGCGACACUGCGAGGCGUACGUGGUCCAGGCGGGCGACGGCAGGAGGAUGUCUGAAGGAUGAGAAGGCUACCUCAGAGAUCAAGUGAAGACGUUGGAGGUGUUGAAACAUGGAUACUACUUGACAGGUGCAGGAUUGGACCUUUCGAGGUAGCGUCAUGUCGUGGAACACCUAGCAGUGGCUGAGUCCGCUGUGGUCUCCUUCUCUGAUGCCAUGUGGGGUGGUGAAGGCCUUUGUGGUCUUGGUAGAGAAGUACAGACACAAGGAAGGCAACACCCUCAUCACCAUUCUCCAGGACCUUGUCACUGGCAUACUCCCUACAAGUAUCCCAGAGACAGUUCCUGAAGUUUGACUGAUCCUGGAAUGUCCCCCAGCUGUGUAAAAGUCCUGUCCAUCCACACAAGUAUGGAUGGCCUGUGACACCGACCAGGACUACACCCUGUUGGAGGGUUGCAACACCUGGAAAGGAGCAAAAGAAUGAAGAAACUAAAAAGAGCCUUUGGGGACCUUCAACAAUCUAUAGUUUCACAGUACUGGAAUGUAAGAGCUUCACAUCACUCAGAACAGUACACUAUCAAUGUAAAUUAUUGCAUUAGAAAAAAUUGCAUAAUGUAACUUAUUGCAUUCUGGACCCGGGCCUUCUGAGUGUAAAAGUAAGGUUGGCAAACCAACAGACAUACUGAUGAGCUAAAGGUCACUGUGCCAGAGGCCACUUCAGUGCCAUCACACCUGAUGCUCCAGCCCCUCACUGUGGGCAUCACGUAUAGCGCCGCAGAAGUGGUGGCCUCAUGAGGGAACACUUUAGUUCACCACUGGCUCACUUGGUUACCUGGACUGACUUUCUAACCCAGUAAUCCUGCAUUUGAUCCCUAGGACUCACGGACGUUGUAUUACAGUUAUCCUUGUAUGUUGUGUAAAGCAUUAUUUGAAAUUGGGAAGUUUGUCUAAUAAAAAAUCCUGAUGGGGAA